UUCCUUGUGGCGUUCAAUUGUUCUCGCGAGAUUUCGGGCCCACUAUUAGCUGGGCCGCGGGGUGGGUCUUCCUUUCCUUCCGCGAGGUUGUGGAGCUGUGUUGGCAUUUGUUCAGAGAAACUACAUCACGUUUACCGAAUUGUCAAAACUCUGAAGCAAAUAAGUGACGAAUAAGACAAUUUGGAGAAGGACUUGGGAGAAUAUGUAACAGGAAUGAAUUUUUUUAACUCUAUAAUGGCAUCUAAUUCAGCUGUGGAAAUUGAAAAUGAAAGUGAUAACUCUUCUUCUGGUAGCAGCUUAUUUAAAACUCAGUAUGUCCCUUACUCCCCUAAACAGGGGCAAAGAAACCCUACUAGAAAGUUUGUUCAUUCACCUGAAGGUGUUCAGGCAAGGGAUUCAUCUAGUGACUCAUCUUUCGAACCAAGACCAUUGACUUUAAAAGCUAUUUUUGAAAGAUUCAAAAAAAAGAAACGUAAAAAGAGGAAAUAUAAACCAACAGGAAGAUCAAGAGGAAGACCAAAAGGGAGAAAAAACACUAGACGUUCCCAAAUAAAUAAGAAACAAGUUCAAGAUAAAGGAUCUGGGUUCCCAUUUUUAGAAUCCGAGAGUGCAAGAAAACCAUUACCUUGGAGAAAAAUUUUAACCUUUGAGCAAGCAGUGGCAAGAGGAUUUUUCAACUACCUUGAAAAACUGAAGUAUGAAUACUACCUCAAGGAAUCCUUGAAACAAAUGAAUGUUGGUGAAGAUUUAGAAAAAGAAGAUUUUGACAGUCGUAGAUACAAAUACUUGGAUGAUGAUGGUUCUCUCUCUCCUAUUGAAGAAUCAGAAACAGAGGAUGAGGCUGCAACAAAUCUUGAACAUGAUGAAUGUGAUAUCAAAUUGGUGGACAACUUUAAUGAUUUCAUAAUAAGUUCUGAAGUACCAAAGAUGAAGAAUGUGUAUUUAGAACAAGAAGAAUAUACUGAAGAAGCCGCUUUGUCUAAAAAGAGAGCAUCAAAGUCCAAAAAUACUGGACGGGACAGAAUGGCCUGAAAAGAGAUAGGAAUAUGAAUGUUAAGGCUUUUCACUUGAAUACAAUGUCUGGACUUUAAAGGUAUGUUUUAUGAUUUAGGUGAGUAUUUGGAUUAGAUUUGUUGAAAUGUACUUUGUCAGACAGCUUAAACCUCCACAGGUUUCAUUACUGAAAGACAUUUUGCUGGUUUACAAUUUCUGUUUGACAUUUCAGAAAAAUGAAUUUUAGGGUUCACACAUUUUAUAGUGGUAAAGUGCAAGCUUCACUUUACUAGCAGGAAAGGGUCUCCACAAACUAAGUUUAUAUUGAAAUUAUCAGAAUAUUAGAUAUUCUCAUUCCACACAUUUACAUAAUUUUAAACUAAUGCAUAAUCUAAAAUGAGGUGUAGGAUUUAGUAGUGUAAUGUUAGAAAUGACUAGAGGACAUAAGAUUUCCUAAAUCUGAAUGAUGCAAAUGGUAAUUAAAAAGCACACAAUUUGUUUAUCUUCCAGUGAUUUCAUAAAUGGAAGAACAGAAAUAUAGCCACAUUAAUAUUUUCCUCUGGUUUUUAGUACGUGAUAUCAAAUAAUGGUAUUUUUUAAGGUGAGGCAAAAAAUUAAACACUGCUGUAAUCUGGAAUAUCCUAGACAAAACAUACUGUGAUACUGGAGUUUGCCAAAAUCAGGACUUUUAGAUACGGAAAUCUUUUUCCUUCCUUUGGUUCUAUAGUAGCUACUUUGUACUUAUCUUUAGUAUUUGGUUUUUAUUCUCAUUAUAGACUCACUCCUUCCUGUAAGCAUUUUAAAAAUCCUUACUGUGUAAUUUAUGGAACGAUUUCUUUAAGUUUGUUGUAAAUGUUUGGCUUUUUGCACAAUUUUGAACUCGGUGACUGAGAGCAGAUCACUGUUCUAAUUGUUUUUCUUGUGGAAUCUUCCAAUUUAAAACUAAACAAUGCUUGAGGUCUAUCCCGAUGGGGCUUUUUCUCUGUAGACCUACAUCGUUGGAAACGCCUCAUAGAGUAUAUGUGUGGUUUCCUUUAUUCACAGAACUAUGUGUUAGAUCUGUGGGAAAGAACUACAAGACAUUUAACUGCUAAAACUCUGUACAAGACCUAAUAGUCAAAUUUUUUUAAAUCUUAGGUAUUGGCAUAUUCCCAACAAUCUGUACAAUUCUAGGGUGUGAUGGUUUAGGGGUGAAUAGGAUUUGAACUCAUUCACAUUUAGAGGGGUGUUGGAAACUGAGAACCAGGCAGAUCCAGGCUCAGGCCCUAACAGGGCCCUGGAGUAAAGACAUUGGAUCCCAAAGAUUACAGGUGGGGAGUUUUUGAAGUAAUGUCCAUAUUCAAGUGGAGAUUGAAGAAGCCCAACCGAAAGAACUCUGGCAAGUUAAUUCUCUUACCAUAUAAUGGUCGUUACCAAGGCUUUGAGAAUGCAGUUUCUCAUUUGCUGUGGACAUGACCGUAAAAAAAUUUUCCCACUAGGUUUUCUUUCUUUCUGCUACUUUGCUAGCAUUCAGCCUAUUGGGAACAUUUUAUCAACCCUGUUCUAUUUCCGUUGGCUAGAUCAGCACCACUGUCCAGUAUAAAUGUAACAGAAGCCAUAUGUGAUUUGGUAAUAGUCCUAUUAUUUCAAAUUCUCAUCUGACCAUACAUGGCUAGUAUAUUGAACAGUGCGUGCCUAGAUCUCUACUCUUGCAAAUAUCUUUUGCUAAAUCACUCUUGCUAAUAACCAUGCAACUUGUAAUACAAUAGAUUUAACAGACGGAGGCUGGCUUCAGUUUACAUGGUCAUCUCUGGAAAUGGAACCUUACUUUUAUGUUCUGUUAUGUAGGACUGACCGUGACAACUGUGGAUUGAACAAGGUCUUUUUAAAAGGGCUAUUUUGAAGAUUAUGAUUCUGACUUUGGAGGAACUACGGUGAUUGGAAGUGGAAGGAAUCAUAUGUAAAAUUCCUUAAAUAAAAAUUUAUUGACUUUAAAUAA